UGAGCAGCAAAUACUGCUGCUUAGUGCUCCUUUACUCCUUUCUUUUUUGGUAACUGAGUAAAGGCAGAGCAAGAUGAAGACAUGUCCGUCUUUCUUUCUGCCACUAUUAUUUCUCACAGCUUUCCUGGCUAUAGACAGCAUAGGCCCAAAUGAAACAAAACUAAAGAAAGCCAAGCUCCCCAGAAUAAAAAAGGAAAACAAUGUACUCCUGCUGAAAAAGAGCAACUUUGACAGAGCAUUGAAGGAAACAAAGUACCUACUGGUGGAGUUCUAUGUUUCUUUACCUCAAGCAUCUCAGAAUUUGUCUGAAGAAUUUGCUGAGGCUGCACGGCAGCUUAAAAAAGAAGCUCCAAGAAUCCAAUUUGGCAAAAUUGAUGUCACAGACCAACACGAUUUGAGAAAAGAAUUUAACAUUCAAGAGUUUCCGACUGUCAAAUUUUUUGUGGAUGGCAGCAGGGAAGAUCCCAUAGACUGCAAAGGAGUCAGACAGGCCUCAGCCUUUAUUACGUGGGUCAAAAGAAGAACAGGACCCAGCACAGUCUUAAUCAACUCUACAGAUCAGGCUGAAGCCAUGAUAAAUGCUGACAAUUUAGCAGUGAUUGGCUUUUUUAAGGAACUUCGCAAUAACAGCAUGGAAGUUUUUUGUGAGACUGCCAAAGAUGUGCCAGAGAUGCCUUUUGGGAUGACAAGCAGAGAGGACGUCUGUGCUAACUAUGGCAUCCAAAAGAACACUCUCGUUGUAUUUAAGAAGGGAAAACCUGUGCAUAAUGAAGUGCUUGAAGAUGACAGACAGAACAAACUGGAUCUUACAAGGCUAAUCAAAACCUUUACUUUGGAUUUGGUCACUGAAUAUAAUCUUGAGACAUCUGUGAAGAUUUUUGAUGUCCCUGUUGAAAAUCACAUCCUGCUGUUCAUCCCAACGAACUCAAAGACAUUCAAUGCGACUUAUGAAAACUACAAGUCUGCUGCUAUGGAAUUUAGAGGGAAGAUAACAUUUGUCUUGGUGAAUACUAAUGAAACCAGGAAUGGACGAGUUUUUGAGUAUUUUCGCAUCAGGGACAUUGAUGUUCCCGCUGUGAGAAUCCUAAACCUGACAAGCAAUGCGAAGUACAAAAUGCCUGCAGAUGAGGUGACUUUGGAGAACCUAAGACAUUUUUGCCAGAGCUACCUAGAUGGAAAAGCAAAGAUACAUCUCUCCAGUGAAGAAAUCACAGAGGACUGGGACAAGAUGCCAGUCAAAGUGCUUGUUGGGAAGAAUUUCAACAGGAUUGUCUUCAAUAAGACCAUGACUGUGUUUGUCAUGUUUUAUGCCCCUUGGUCCCAUGACUGCAGAAAACUCCUGCUAAUCUGGGAUGAGCUAGGAGAGAAAUAUCAAAAUCGCAAAGACAUAAUCAUUGCAAAGAUAGAUGUCACAGCAAAUGACAUCCUGUCAGUUGUGUUGGAUCGCUAUCCCUUCUUCAGACUGUUUCCUGCUGGAGCCGAUUACCAGGAAGUGGCCUAUGCUGGGGAGCAUACCUUGGCGGCAUUUUCUGAAUUCUUAGAAGAACAAAUCAAGACAAAGGCAGAAACAGGAGAAAAGACACCCUCCAAGUUUUCCCGGAAGAGUGCAGUAUCAGACCUUUUGCAGUACUGUGCUUGAUGUGAAGUCUCCUGUUGGAGUAACUUCCUCCUGACCUCAGAGUAUUCCCAGACAGGACAAAUGAGAAGGAUCCUUCAGGAGGAAGCAAAGAGGAUCUCAGCCAGAAAGAGACUGUAAUAACAGAGAAAGAAGAACUUUAAGAGUACAGAGAAAAAGAAAAAUUCUGAGGAUUGUGGGGAAUCCUUCCUGGAAGGAAUUCAUUGCAAGAAGGAAUCAUCUCAAGCGAACACAAAGCUGGACCAAAAAAUAAAAGUGAAGACUUCACUAUCA